rnacentral:rRNA from 1 species
GACGAACGCUGGCGGCGUGCUUAACACAUGCAAGUCGAACGGAAAGGCCCUGCUUUUGUGGGGUGCUCGAGUGGCGAACGGGUGAGUCACAAGUGAGUAACAUGCCCUUGACUUUGGGAUAACUUCAGGAAACUGGGGCUAAUGCCGGAUAGGAGCUCCUGCUGCAUGGUGGGGGUUGGAAAGUUUCGGCGGUUGGGGAUGGCCUCGCGACUUAUCAGCUUGUUGGUGGGGUAGUGGCUUACCAAGGCUUUGACGGGUAGCCGACCUGAGAGGGUGACCGGCCACAUGGGGACUGAGAUACAGCGCAGACUCCUACGGGAGGCAGCAGGGGAGAAUAUUGCACAAUGGGAGGAAGCCUAAUGAAGGAACGCCGCGUGAGGGAUGACGGCCUUCGGGUUGGAAACCGCUUUCGCCUGUGACGAAGCGUGAGUGAGGGUAAUGUGUAAAGAAGCACCGGCUAGCUACGUG